rnacentral:rRNA from 21 species
AGAGUUUGAUCAUGGCUCAGAUUGAACGCUGGCGGCAGGCCUAACACAUGCAAGUCGAACGGUAACAGAAAGCAGCUUGCUGCUUUGCUGACGAGUGGCGGACGGGUGAGUAAUGUCUGGGAAACUGCCCGAUGGAGGGGGAUAACUACUGGAAACGGUAGCUAAUACCGCAUAACGUCGCAAGACCAAAGAGGGGGACCUUAGGGCCUCUUGCCAUCGGAUGUGCCCAGAUGGGAUUAGCUAGUAGGUGGGGUAAAGGCUCACCUAGGCGACGAUCCCUAGCUGGUCUGAGAGGAUGACCAGCCACACUGGAACUGAGACACGGUCCAGACUCCUACGGGAGGCAGCAGUGGGGAAUAUUGCACAAUGGGCGCAAGCCUGAUGCAGCCAUGCCGCGUGUAUGAAGAAGGCCUUCGGGUUGUAAAGUACUUUCAGCGGGGAGGAAGGGAGUAAAGUUAAUACCUUUGCUCAUUGACGUUACCCGCAGAAGAAGCACCGGCUAACUCCGUGCCAGCAGCCGCGGUAAUACGGAGGGUGCAAGCGUUAAUCGGAAUUACUGGGCGUAAAGCGCACGCAGGCGGUUUGUUAAGUCAGAUGUGAAAUCCCCGGGCUCAACCUGGGAACUGCAUCUGAUACUGGCAAGCUUGAGUCUCGUAGAGGGGGGUAGAAUUCCAGGUGUAGCGGUGAAAUGCGUAGAGAUCUGGAGGAAUACCGGUGGCGAAGGCGGCCCCCUGGACGAAGACUGACGCUCAGGUGCGAAAGCGUGGGGAGCAAACAGGAUUAGAUACCCUGGUAGUCCACGCCGUAAACGAUGUCGACUUGGAGGUUGUGCCCUUGAGGCGUGGCUUCCGGAGCUAACGCGUUAAGUCGACCGCCUGGGGAGUACGGCCGCAAGGUUAAAACUCAAAUGAAUUGACGGGGGCCCGCACAAGCGGUGGAGCAUGUGGUUUAAUUCGAUGCAACGCGAAGAACCUUACCUGGUCUUGACAUCCACGGAAGUUUUCAGAGAUGAGAAUGUGCCUUCGGGAACCGUGAGACAGGUGCUGCAUGGCUGUCGUCAGCUCGUGUUGUGAAAUGUUGGGUUAAGUCCCGCAACGAGCGCAACCCUUAUCCUUUGUUGCCAGCGGUCCGGCCGGGAACUCAAAGGAGACUGCCAGUGAUAAACUGGAGGAAGGUGGGGAUGACGUCAAGUCAUCAUGGCCCUUACGACCAGGGCUACACACGUGCUACAAUGGCGCAUACAAAGAGAAGCGACCUCGCGAGAGCAAGCGGACCUCAUAAAGUGCGUCGUAGUCCGGAUUGGAGUCUGCAACUCGACUCCAUGAAGUCGGAAUCGCUAGUAAUCGUGGAUCAGAAUGCCACGGUGAAUACGUUCCCGGGCCUUGUACACACCGCCCGUCACACCAUGGGAGUGGGUUGCAAAAGAAGUAGGUAGCUUAACCUUCGGGAGGGCGCUUACCACUUUGUGAUUCAUGACUGGGGUGAAGUCGUAACAAGGUAACCGUAGGGGAACCUGCGGUUGGAUCACCU